UUACUACAGAAAAUGACUGAGCGGCGAACGGGUGAGUAACGCGUGAGCAAUCUACCUUAGUUACAGGGAUAGCCCGAGGAAACUCGGAUUAAUACCUGAUAUUCUUUACAUUUCGCAUGAAAUUAAAAGGAAAGGUCAGCCGAACUAAGAUGAGCUCGCGUUCUAUCAGCUAGUUGGUGAGGUAAAAGCUCACCAAGGCUACGACGGAUAGCUGGUCUGAGAGGACGAUCAGCCACACUGGGACUGAGACACGGCCCAGACUCCUACGGGAGGCUGCAGCAGGGAAUAUUGUGCAAUGAACGAAAGUUUGACACAGCGACACCGCGUGUGGGAUGACGGAU
rnacentral:rRNA from 1 species